UCGUUCCCAAUUUACUCUGCAAUUUACAUUUUACAUCGUGACCUAACCCUCUCCUCUCCAUCCUAGUCGUUUGGACUCUUCUCCAUCUCCGGUGUCUUAACUCUUGACCGUCCUCGAUGUCUCGGAAUCUCGGCAAAGUCUAAAACAGCCGUAUUCAUCAGUGCAUCUAAUCUGCCAAAUAGAGAGAGGUGUGAGAUUUUGAGGCUAGUGAAGCCAAAGGAUGCAAAAAAGCCUUAGGGAAAUUAACUUUACCAUGUGAAGAUCGCCUGUGGACUACAAAAAAAAGGUAAAAUUAUGGAAUAGUAGGGCGAUGACAGGGGAGCCAGUGGGUUAAUAGGGUAUGUUACAUAAGGUAGAAUUGUAAAGUAGCAGGGCAACGACAAGGAAGCUAGAGGGAAAACACGAGUCAUUGCAUGAGGCAAGGGGUAGUUUGGCCAUUUUAUAUUUUUGGUGAUUAUGUUAUCUAUGUUUUAAAUAAUUAUGCACUU